GGCUAUUGACUCCAUGAGACAUUCAAAUAUUCCGUUCGCCCAAACUGGGUCGGGGCAACACACGCCCAGCUGCUCUGUGAAAUGAAAUGCAGGUUUGUCAACCGCUGUAGUGACUAGCAAAUUUCUGAAGAUGGCGGCGUUGCAUCUUUGCCUCUUGGUGGACUUUGUACCGAGCCCUCCGGUUGAACCCGUAAGAUUUGAAACCGUGAGGUGUGGGUCCGACACGCCGGCUCGUUUACAUUGGCGUCGAGGAGCGCUUCCCUUCAAUGAGCACCCAAAGUACUUUGAGUGACUCAUGACUUCCUCUUCAGUCUCACCCCCCCCCCAAAAAAAAAAUGAGUAGAUUACUUACACGAGGCAAUAAUUCACAACUUGCUCCUCUUAAGAUCUUACACGAAGGGGGGCGAGCGAGCCCCAUUUAGGCCAUUUCUCUUCACGGGCCUUUUGAAGUUGGCCCUUCCCGAUAAGAGCGGAUGAGUGGCCGAGCAAGAGCGAGUCGCCGUUAAUCAAUGGCUAGACUCGGGAGGCCUAAAGCGCCUGGAAGAGUCCCAGAGUGCUUGAGCGUGCCGGGGGGUCAUUUAUCUGCAACGAUCACCGCGCCACCUUUAAUUGCCUCCUUUGCAUUUAAGCAGCGAACAAAUCAUCGGGACGCGAGAGCAUCAAAAAGCGUCUCCUCCAUCACUUCUCAAGAGAGGCAGGACUCCUUGGCUUGCCCGCCAUGGGGGAGUCUAAUCGCGAGUGGGCUCAGAGGGUGGCGUUGUUUGUCACAGUGCGCCAGCGGCAGCAAAGAGGAAAGGAAGGGGCGGGCCAGCGAGCGGAAGGACGCCAGGAAGCUUCUGGCAUUUUUCUCCUGAGGAUUGAGACUCAAAGCCGAGACGUUUUCCUCAUCUCGGAGAUUGGCCGUCCAAACGUCAGCCCAGAUAGAGCAGCGUGACUCGAUUAGUCUCCCUGUUUGAAAAGAGAAGCUGCUGCCAUCCUGAGUGGCUGCCGGCCGGUGGGGGAGAAAUCAAGGAUGGCUAAAAAUAGCCCCGAAGCGUUUUUUUUUUUUUUUUUUGAGCGGAACACACUGUUACGCAGCGGCCGAGACACCCACAUAUUAAUUAUAAUAUGCUCUAGGAAGCUGAGGAUUGUCAAGAAGGGAGGGAGGGAGCAAGCUUGACGGAUCAUGUUUGUUGCACCACCUGGCGGCCGCCAACAAAUACCAAGCGCCAACGCACAGCCCUGCUUUGAUUUGACAUAAUAAAAGGCUCCAAAGCCAUCCAAGCCUGCGGUGGCGUCAAGGUGGCGCAUCAUCUUGGAUAUUCUGGGGAUGUAAGGCAUGUGGCGGUCAUGUCAAAUAUGGCCUUCCGCGGCAGCCAUGUCACGUUCAUGCAAAGGCCCCACUUGACGUUCAAGCGCAUCGAUCAAACACGACGAGCGCCGCGUUCCUGAUCUCUCAAUUAGUGCUGGCGUGCCAUUUAUCUCUACACUAUCUUUAUGGCUCGGGGAUCCGCCGCCGAUGGAUGCUGGCGACCCGCCACCCACGCUACUGGCAGGGGGCGGGAUGGAGCUGACUUCAAGUACUCGAGUGGCACCACUCAGCAAGCAAGGCAGAGCGGUUGUCAGGUGUCGACACACUGGUGGAAGCGUGAGAGCAUCCCGUGGUGUGGCGUCGCUUGCUUGCGCUGACGAUUUACCUUGGCUAGCUCGAGUACACGCAAAGUAGUCGAGUAGAUCACACACACAGUGGCAAGUGUCGAGCUUGCCUCUUUGUUGUUUGCACUCCUGGUAAGCAGAUUGAGUGCGAGCGGCGGGGGGGGGGGGGUACACACGCAGCAGGGGCGCACCUCCGCUCAUGGUCGUGUGAAGAUGAUGCCUGUGUCUCACCCCCCCCCCCCUCCUCGGGAUCAGAAACACCUCCCUUCUUCCCUGUGCCAGCCCGCUAACGUGUCUUGAAUUAUUCAUGCGGCAGAGAGGGUCACACGCAGCACAUAAUGAGGAUUUUGCAAUUGUGAUGCGCUUAAUCUGCAUUUAGCGCAGAGUAAGCGGGAGACUGAAGAACUUCAUUGCUAGGCGCCUCCUCGAGAUCCGGUGUUUGGCCACAUUGUCAUCUCCUGCAGAAAGGAGGCGGGCCAUCCCCCUGAUGACAUGUCAUUUCCUGCUGAGGAGAAACAGCAGGCGACUGUUGCCUCCUGGUGGACACUAAAUGGAGUUCCAACUGAAAUUGCUCACCCCAACCAGAGUGACAGUCACUUUUUCCUGUCACAAAUAUAAUCCGAGUACCACAAUGACGCAUUUAUUCUGCUGUGUUUUGUACAUUUCUGGACAUGCAAACCGCAAGAUACAGACAAGACACUUUUGCACUUAAAAAUAUACUUGGGCAGAAAGCAACAUUACAUUUUAGGCUGCACCCUCCUGUUGCCAAAUAGUGGGCGUGUCACGUUCAGGGCUAAUAUAUACCACGUGGCUAUUUUAGGCUCGGGGAUGAAUGACCAGCGCGAGCCCUAAUUUGGUACCAACGCACGCUUUCUUAUUUAGUUUUUUUUCUUUUGUGUUUUGAUUUACUCACAAGGCCUUGUGUUUGUCCUCAGCAAGGAUCUGAUCGUUGGGCUUCAGUCCGUACCUUUUCAAGACACAAAGUAGACCAAUUUUGGUGCCGUUACUCACAGACAAAUGGAGAUAUGACGGAAAUUAGACAAGGCCGCUUCACUUACUUAUUGAGGAAGUCUUUGUCCACCACUGCAAUAAUGUCCAGUAGGGGAUUGCCCAUCCCAAAGAGUGUGUUUUCACUUAAGAUACAAAAAAGUACAACAAACAGCUGCUUAGCGAGAGCUUUUGUAGAGUCAAAUGAGGUUUAAAUUAGGAAUAAGAAUCACAUGAAAAAUUGCAGAGCCAGUCAGAUUUGAUUUUUCCAAAAUAGAAUUACCAGAAUAAAUUAAAUCUCAUCAUAAAAAAAUAACAGAAUAUAAAAUAACUGCUUGAUUUAACAGUGUUUGAGGAAAAUGUUUUCAUAAAAUCUAUCCUCGUCAUAUAGUCGUGGGUUGUAAAUGUGGUAUCUGUGGGCAAAGUCUGUCACGAUUACAUGUUGCUCACCCUUCAGCACAAACUGGUGAAAAAAGUUACAUUGAAGCAGAUAAAAUUAAACAACAACAAAAAAGUUA